CACGUAGGGCGCGAGCGUUGUCCGGAAUUAUUGGGCGUAAAGAGCUCGUAGGCGGCCUGUUGCCUCCGCUGUGAAAGCCCCGGGCUUAACCUGGGAACGGCAUUUGAAACUGGCAGGCUGGAGUACGGCAGAGGGGGGUGGAAUUCCACGUGUAGCAGUGAAAUGCGUAGAGAUGUGGAGGAACACCGAUGGCGAAGGCAGCCCCCUGGGCCGAUACUGACGCUCAGGCACGAAAGCGUGGGGAGCAAACAGG
rnacentral:rRNA from 1 species